rnacentral:snRNA from 1 species
AUACUCACUUGGCAAGGGAGAUACCAUGAUCACUGAGGUGGUUUUGCCAGAGCUAGACUUGUCCAUUGCACUCCAGAUGUCCUGACCCCUGCAAUUUCCCAAAGUGAGGGAAACUCGAUUGUAUAAUUUGUGGUAGUAGGGGACUGCAUUCACACUCUCCCUGG